rnacentral:rRNA from 1 species
AUUGAACGCUGGCGGCGUGCUUAACACAUGCAAGUCGAACGAUGAAGUUCCUUCGGGAAUGGAUUAGUGGCGAACGGGUGAGGAACACGUGAGAAACCUGCCUUUCAUUUUGGGAUAACUCCGGGAAACCGGGGCUAAAACCGAAUACUCCGUCUCGGCGGCAUCGCUGAGCCGGGAAAAGAUUUUGAUGAAAGAUGGUCUCGCGGCCUAUCAGCUAGUUGGUGAGGUAAUGGCUCACCAAGGCAACGACGGGUAGCCGGCCUGAGAGGGCGACCGGCGACACUGGGACGGAGACACGGCACAGACUCCUACGGGAGGCAGCAGUGGGGAAUAUUGGGCAAUGGGCGCAAGCCUGACCCAGCGACGCCGCGUGAGGGAUGAAGGCCUUCGAGUUGUAAACCUCUUUCAGUAGGGAAGAAGCGAAAGUGACGGUACCUAAAGAAGAAGCACCGGCUAACUAUGUGCCAGCCGCCGCGGUAA